GACAGAGGGUGCAAACGUUGUUCGGAAUUACUGGGCGUAAAGGGCGCGUAGGCGGCCUGCUAAGUCGGAUGUGAAAUCCCUCGGCUCAACCGAGGAACUGCAUCCGAUACUGGCGGGCUUGAAUCCGGGAGAGGGAUGUGGAAUUCCAGGUGUAGCGGUGAAAUGCGUAGAUAUCUGGAGGAACACCGGUGGCGAAGGCGGCAUCCUGGACCGGUAUUGACGCUGAGGCGCGAAAGCUAGGGGAGCAAACGGG
rnacentral:rRNA from 1 species